GCGUUGUUCGUCUAAUGGCUAAGACACGAGAUUGUGAAUCUCGUUAUACGGGUUCGACUCCCGUACAUCGCC
rnacentral:tRNA from 1 species